GCCUGAUGACUCCUUGCUGUCCUUGCUCUGCUGUUUUCAACUCUCUAGAGACAGCAGGAGCAGUAGAGAUACUCUUAUUGAUCGGCUAUGAAAAACCAACUGACAUUUACUCCUGAGUAUGAUCGCCAUAGACCGUUUCGGCGACAUGAAAGAGAGGAGGAUGGCAUUGGCGUUUCUCUACAAGUAGGCCCCUGUCAACCAUUGUUGAGGAAUACACACCUACUGUCUCUAUGGCAACCACUCUGAUUUGGCUGGAGUGGAGUUGGCUGGUGCACAGAGCUCUUGAACGAAGGCCAACCCAUACCGCCACACCUGGGAAAUACAUUGACUCCUCACAUACAUUUCCAGAUGUGAGUUACUAUUUGAGAGACUUGUGAUCUCUCAUUGGACUGUCCAC
ensembl:lncRNA